rnacentral:rRNA from 1 species
UAUGUGAUCGUCUCUCGCAUAUCAAUAAGCGGAGGAAAAGAAACUAACAAGGAUUCCCCUAGUAACGGCGAGUGAAGCGGGAAGAGCUCAAAUUUGAAAUCUUAAAGGGUUUCCCUUUACGAAUUGUAGUUUAAAGAAGUGUUUUCUGUUGAGGUUUUGGUAAAGGUUCUUUGGAAUAGGACAUCAUAGAGGGUGAGAAUCCCGUAUUUGACCUUUACUUUCAACUUUGUGAUACACUUUCAAAGAGUCGGAUUGUUUGGGAAUGCAGUCCAAAAUGGGUGGUAAAUUUCAUCUAAAGCUAAAUAUUGGCGAGAGACCGAUAGCGAACAAGUACCGUGAGGGAAAGAUGAAAAGAACUUUGAAAAGAGAGUUAAACAGUACGUGAAAUUGUCAAAGGGAAGCGUUUGACACCAGUGUUGUUUUUCUGAAAAUCAAUUAAAGAACUGUUUAUGCUAAGCUGUUUAGACUUUAUCAGCUAUCUGUUUAGUUUUGAGCUUUUCUUUAAUGCACUUUUCAGUUAACAAGUCAACAUCAAUUUCUUUUGCUGUAAAAAAGCUUGAGGAAGGUGGCUUGAGAUUCCGUCUUAAGUGUUUAUAGCCUCUUGCCUAUGCAGUCGGAGAGAUUGAGGUCUGCAGCGUAGAUCCUUCGGGGCUAAAUGCAUUUGUGCUAAGUUAUAGCAUUUUAUAGACAACUUGUUGACUAUGAUUUGUCUUGUAGCUUACUCGCUUAUGUUAUUUUACCUACGCUUAGGAUGUUGAAGACUCUACAGAGAU